AAGAAAGCCAUUGUAUUUGUUCUGAUGCUUGUCAUGUGGGAAAUGUGGAAGGAGCAGAACGCAAGAGUCUUUCGCAACACGGCUUCACCGAACACCAUUAUUGAUGCUAAGAUCAAAGAGAAGGCCCAUCUUUGGGUGUUGGCGGGAGCCAAAACCUGA
rnacentral:rRNA from 1 species